rnacentral:lncRNA from 1 species
AUUAUAUAUUAGAGCUGGUGUUUAGCUUAGCAUUAAAGCACUUUCCAAGCAUGAAUGAAAAUAUGGGCUUCAUAUCAAGCACCCAAAAAGAAAAAGAUUAAAAAAUUAUAAUUUAUGCAUGCACAUAAAAUAUACUGGGAAGGAAAUGUCAAAAAAUUAGCACUGGUCUCAAUAGGGAAUUCAGGUUAUCUUCACUGGGGAUGUUUGUACUUUUGAAAUUACUUAGUCAUAUUAAUUUUAAUUUUUUAACAAGACAGAAAAUACUUUUUAAAUAAAAAGACAACUCAAAGAAAAAUUAAAACUAGCUGAUAGGGCUGGGGUUGUAGCUCAAUGGUAAAGAACUUGACUAGCACAUAAGAAGCCCUGGGUUCGAUCCUCAGCACCACAUAAAGAUAAAUAAAUAAAAUAUUGUGCCCAUCUACAACUAAUUUAUAAAACUAGUUGAGAAAUUCAUAAGGGAAAAUCAAGUGGUGGGAAUCAAGGAUUGGGGUCUGUUACCAUCAUAGUUUCUCAAAAAGGAAACUGGAGGAAUCAGGUCACUGGAUGUGGAACAACUUUCAAGAGAAGGAAAGGAAGUCAUGUAAGUGACUUCAGGAAACAAGAGGAAAUGACAAGCUACCUUGCAGAUGCUUUGUGGAUGUUCAACAGCCAUGAUUCCUCUCUAUCCAAGAAGGAGGCUUCUAUCCAAGCAGGGCAGAGCUGCAGAAGGAAACAAUAGGUUCUUUUGUGGGGCCACCAUACCAUUUCAGAGGUCACCCUGGCUCAGUUCUGACAGCCCCGCACAUUCGGAGUUUAGUCAAAGAAGUCUAUGGUGUGCUACUUAAUUUGGGCAUCAGAUAAAAGCAGAGACAUUGACAGAUUCUGUCCAGAACUCUCCCUGAGCUGACAGAUCUAUUGCUGGAGCGACCAAGGUGCCCCACUUCUACAGUCAGUCGCAAUAAGGACAAAAAGUUAGAAACUCACUCACACCAAGGAGACACAAACAUCGCAGGCACCCCAAACCUAAACACAACAGGACACACACACACAACCUCACAACCAGUCACAACUGCAGAGUCCAUAGGCACCUCUCAUUAAGCCUCCUAUGACCGAAUCAGCUCCACUCCAUUCAAGUCCAAACAAGUCAAACCUGGUCUCACAAAGUCCUGAAGUUGUUCCCCAAUUUCUUUGGAAAAGACCAUCCAGUCCUCAGAAGAGGCUCAAGGAGGGGGAAUUGGGCCUAGAGGCCUCUGAGAAGUAGAGUCCAGUAAGUACAGCCUGACCACAGUCCAAUGGUACAGACAACUGACCAAACCAAAACUGCUUCAAUGAAACUGCUCAUCAGAGCUUUCCAUGAUUCUCAAUUGACAAGGACUCCCUAAACCAAACUCUAAUCAGGCUCCUCUGAGCCUUCUUUAUUAGCUAGGUUUCUUCCUUAGCCUGUCAACUUCACUUCAAUAAGAAUCUUACUAAGCCACUUUAGCAAGAAUCUUCUCCAUCCAUGAAAAACAUAAGGUUACCUGACUCCUUACUCUACCUAUUGGCUAUAACAGCCCCCCAAACCCCAAAGACUAUUGUACUAAAAUAGACAGUUGCUGUACUCCUUAACCUUGCCCUUCUUGCCUUUUUAACAUGUCUGGUGCAAGCUUUCUGUGCUGAGCCCAGCCUCAGAGCUGGCAGAAUUAUGGCCCUGCCAAAGAUGUCCCCUUCCUAAUUCCUAAUAUGUUACCUCAUAUGGCAAAAGGACUUUGCAGAUGGAGUAGGAGCCUUGAAUGGGGAAAUAUCCUAGAUUAACUAAUUGGGCCCAAUAUGAUUGUAUAGGUCAAUGAAUCUUUCCUGGAUGACUUUAUAGUCAGAGGAAGGUGUGACCACAGAAAAAUAGUCAGAGAUGUAACUCUGCUGGCUUCACAGAGGAACUGGGCCACAAAUCAAGCAAUAUUGGUGACCUCCAAAAAGUUGGCAAACAUAAGGAAACAAAUUCUUCCUAGAGCA